rnacentral:rRNA from 1 species
CCAGACUCCUACGGGAGGCAGCAGUGGGGGAUAUUGCACAAUGGGGGAAACCCUGAUGCAGCGACGCCGCGUGGGUGAAGAAGCGCCUCGGCGCGUAAAGCCCUGUCAGCAGGGAAGAAAAUGACGGUACCUGAAGAAGAAGCCCCGGCUAACUACGUGCCAGCAGCCGCGGUAAUACGUAGGGGGCAAGCGUUAUCCGGAUUUACUGGGUGUAAAGGGAGCGUAGACGGCAGUGCAAGUCCGGAGUGAAAGCCCGGGGCUCAACCCUGGGACUGCUCUGGAAACUGUAAAGCUGGAGUGCGGGAGGGGCAGGCGGAAUUCCUGGUGUAGCGGUGAAAUGCGUAGAUAUCAGGAGGAACACCGGCGGCGAAGGCGGCCUGCUGGACCGUAACUGACGCUGAGGCUCGAAAGCGUGGGGAGCGAACAGGAUUAGAUACCCCGGUAAUC